rnacentral:rRNA from 1 species
UGGGGAAUAUUGCACAAUGGGCGGAAGCCUGAUGCAGCGACGCCGCGUGGGGGAUGAAGGCCUUCGGGUUGUAAACUCCUUUCGACAGGGACGAAGCUUUUGUGACGGUACCUGAAUAAGAAGCACCGGCUAACUACGUGCCAGCAGCCGCGGUAAUACGUAGGGUGCGAGCGUUGUCCGGAAUUACUGGGCGUAAAGAGCUCGUAGGUGGUUUGUCGCGUCGUCUGUGAAAUUCCGGGGCUUAACUCCGGGCGUGCAGGCGAUACGGGCUGACUUGAGUGCUGUAGGGGGGACUGGAAUUCCUGGUGUAGCGGUGAAAUGCGCAGAUAUCAGGAGGAACACCGAUGGCGAAGGCAGGUCUCUGGGCAGUAACUGACGCUGAGGAGCGAAAGCAUGGGUAGCGAACAGG